rnacentral:tRNA from 1 species
GGGCCCGUAGCUCAGUGGCAGAGCGGUCGGCUCAUAACCGAUUGGUCGUAGGUUCGAACCCUGCCGGGCCCA